rnacentral:rRNA from 1 species
UACAGAGGUUGCGAGCGUUAAUCGGAAUUACUGUGCGUAAAGCGCGCGUAGGCGGCUUUGCAAGUCGGGUGUGAAAUCCCCAGGCUUAACCUGGGAACUGCAUUCGAGACUGCAUUGCUAGAGUAUGGGAGAGGGAAGUGGAAUUUCCGGUGUAGCGGUGAAAUGCGUAGAUAUCGGAAGGAACAUCAGUGGCGAAAGCGACUUCCUGGACCAAUACUGACGCUCAUGUGCGAAAGCGUGGGGAGCAAACAGG